AAAAAUAAAUUUCUACACUCUUCAUUUACUUCAUAUUCACAAUUCCUCUCAUUCAACUAAAUUUAUCAACUACAUUCUCAUCUUCUCCUUCUUUACUUGUUUACUUUCAUCAUCAUUUAAGCGAUAAUGGCGAUGCCGGGUCCAGUUGAUCCAUCAGUACUUACGUUUCAGGCGACACACAAGAGCUUAGCUGCCUGGGAGGGCUCCACUGCCCAGUUGGUUACUCGUCAGCACUACCAGGCGAGUACGUUACAUUGGGAGGUGGAUGAUAGAGUAUUAGAGGUAGUGGAAUUAGCUGGUUUUAGAUACAUUCACAGGUUAUUACAGAUAUGGUCGUGGGAGCAUAUUCAUAUAGGGAGGCCUACAAUUAGGACGAUUCGACCCGCUGGGCAACAUGAUCAGGAAGAUGACGCGGAGGAUUUUGAACCGAUGUUAGGUUCAUAGCAUCGUCGUGGGAUGGAUCCUUUAGCAGUAAGCUGGCUUCGCGUAUAUCUUUCGAGGUCCCACUUCCCACAUACUCUCGUCUACUACAGAGACGCACUUGAUCGUCAACGGGACAAGCAGGUUAUUAAUGUCAUUGCGGAGUUUGACGAGUGUACUUCAUCAUCAUCCACCGAUGCGCAAAACAAAAGGGGCCGG